AUGCAAGUCGACGGGUGAAGCAGAGCUUGCUCUGUGGAUCAGUGGCGAACGGGUGAGUAACACGUGAGCAAUCUGCCCCUGACUCUGGGAUAAGCGCUGGAAACGGCGUCUAAUACCGGAUACGAGCUGCGACCGCAUGGUCAGUAGCUGGAAAGAAUUUCGGUCAGGGAUGAGCUCGCGGCCUAUCAGCUUGUUGGUGAGGUAAUGGCUCACCAAGGCGUCGACGGGUAGCCGGCCUGAGAGGGUGACCGGCCACACUGGGACUGAGACACGGCCCAGACUCCUACGGAAGGCAGCAGUGGGGAAUAUUGCACAAUGGGCGAAAGCCUGAUGCAGCAACGCCGCGUGAGGGAUGACGGCCUUCGGGUUGUAAACCUCUUUUAGCAGGGAAGAAGCGAAAGUGACGGUACCUGCAGAAAAAGCGCCGGCUAACUACGUGCCAGCAGCCGCGGUAAUACGUAGGGCGCAAGCGUUAUCCGGAAUUAUUGGGCGUAAAGAGCUCGUAGGCGGUCUGUCGCGUCUGCUGUGAAAACCCGAGGCUCAACCUCGGGCCUGCAGUGGGUACGGGCAGACUAGAGUGCGGUAGGGGAGAUUGGAAUUCCUGGUGUAGCGGUGGAAUGCGCAGAUAUCAGGAGGAACACCGAUGGCGAAGGCAGAUCUCUGGGCCGUAACUGACGCUGAGGAGCGAAAGGGUGGGGAGCAAACAGGCUUAGAUACCCUGGUAGUCCACCCCGUAAACGUUGGGAACUAGUUGUGGGGUCCAUUCCACGGAUUCCGUGACGCAGCUAACGCAUUAAGUNCCCCGCCUGGGGAGUACGGCCGCAAGGCUAAAACUCAAAGGAAUUGACGGGGACCCGCACAAGCGGCGGAGCAUGCGGAUUAAUUCGAUGCAACGCGAAGAACCUUACCAAGGCUUGACAUAUAGAGGAAACGUCUGGAAACAGUCGCCCCGCAAGGUCUCUAUACAGGUGGUGCAUGGUUGUCGUCAGCUCGUGUCGUGAGAUGUUGGGUUAAGUCCCGCAACGAGCGCAACCCUCGUUCUAUGUUGCCAGCACGUAAUGGUGGGAACUCAUGGGAUACUGCCGGGGUCAACUCGGAGGAAGGUGGGGAUGACGUCAAAUCAUCAUGCCCCUUAUGUCUUGGGCUUCACGCAUGCUACAAUGGCCGGUACAAAGGGCUGCAAUACCGUGAGGUGGAGCGAAUCCCAAAAAGCCGGUCCCAGUUCGGAUUGAGGUCUGCAACUCGACCUCAUGAAGUCGGAGUCGCUAGUAAUCGCAGAUCAGCAACGCUGCGGUGAAUACGUUCCCGGGUCUUGUACACACCGCCCGUCAAGUCAUGAAAGUCGGUAACACCUGAAGCCGGUGGCCCACACCCUUGUGGAGGGAGCCGUCGAAGGUGGGAUCGGUAAUUAGG
rnacentral:rRNA from 1 species